CUUGUCUUUGCAGGCACACAUCUGGAACUGCUGGAUGCCCACGUGUAGGACCCUUUUAUAUACCAGGGGAGGAGUCUGAGGUGGCGUCGGAGCAUGUGUGAGGCCCAUUUCAUGCUGGAGGCCGUCUGGAGGGGAGCUCAUGGCUGCAGUUCUCAGGCCUAGGCCUUGACUCACCCCUGGUGGGUCUGGAUGCAUCGUGGGGCCCUGGAAGUCGCUGCUGGGCUGUGUAGUCCCCGGCGAAGAAUGGCUGGAGGCUCAGGAUCGAAACGGUCAUAAGUCGAGGACUUUCGAGGAUCGGUGGUGCGGCGGCAGCGGUGGUGGCGAUGGCUGGUCCUGAUCUGGAUGUGCUGGCCCCUGGUUGGUUGGAGAAGCCUGGCAGAGGUCGCAGAGCAGGAAGGUAGCUGGCACGUCUCUCUUCUCUUGGAUCCCUCGUAGUUAGUGAGGCACACAUCUGGAACUGCUGGAACUGCUGGAACUGCUGGAACUGCCCACGUGUAGGACCCUUUUAUAUACCAGGGGAGGAGUCUGAGAUAUUUGUGACAUUAAAUAUCCUUCCAUCAUAUGCCCCUACUAUGGACAGAAUACGGGCUUGCAAGAAUUCAUAGAUAAGCCACUGCUGCAUUUGACACUCAUGUUGUCCUGCCAACUGUAUGGGAGAGAUUCUGAUAAGGACAGUAUUUCCUGCAUGUUGAAGUACUCAAGAUGUAGCAAUAUACAGUAUAUUAACAGCCUGUUCUAACAUUCUUGAAAUAUUCAGCCAGCAGAGGACAGUGCUAAUCUGAAACUCCAGUAUGCAAAACCUUUAAUACUUUAAUAUGGUUAAAACAGUUGGAUAUAUGGGCCUAA